AAACGAUCAGCGAGCAGGCUUGCCUGCCAACCCGGUCAGGCCCGGAAGGGAGCAGCCGCAGCGGUGAAAUCGUGUGCCGGGGUGUGGCUGGUGGGG
rnacentral:SRP_RNA from 1 species